UCUCGCUUCACUCUAAAUUUGCACUUAAUAGGUUUGGGCAUUUUUUUCAUAUUGAUUGUUAGAAAAGGUAGUGGACAUUCUCCUAAGAGGCUUUCUUUUCUCAACAAAACCUUUUCAAAUUCUGUUUUAAAUGAACUACACAGCAUUAAAGUGACAAGCAAAUGUAUCAAUGGCCGCAGGGAGUGUUAGACAGCAGUGUGAAAGCACCGUGCUAAAGCAUUUACUCUGAAGUCUAAAAUUAGAUGGUUUUUAUUACAGUCUGCUUAUAAGAAUCCUGAAAGGAUGAAUACCCUGCACCGCAGUCUGAAAGCUGACAAGGUAUCGCUUAACUAUUUCCUUCUUUCCUUCUUCCUUUGAAGCAUCAGGUGUUUGGCUCAGUGGGUAAGAAGGCGAAACCACACCCGCCAACCUUCUGCCUCUCCCCAGAACAGCUGAUCUGGAAGAAACCUGCCACGUGCCGGGCCUCUGUGGACAGCCUGCGUGGCCCACGGCACCUCUCCGGUCACUCAGCAGUGCUGACUUUGCCUUACAUACCCCCGCAAUAGGUGUUUUAAGAUGAAACGUCUAAGUAAACAUAAAUGAGUGAGAAGCUCCUCUCAGAAGGGAGGAAUGACUGACUGGCUCUGAGGAGAAACAAGAAAUGUCCUGGUUUUGCUCCUGAGGCACAAGGGACAGAAACUAAAAAAGGUAGGUACACGGAGGAAUACACCAGCUGCCCGGCGCAGCCACGCACGUGUCCCCUUCCGGAGUCCCGAGUCCAGGCGGAGGCCGUGCUCCCCCAGCAGGUCAACACCUGCCAGCCUGGAGGACUGCAGCGAGACGCACCAGAGAAAAUGCCAAGCGGCGCUCUCGUCCUGUCUGGUCACAGAUUCUGGGAACAGUUCUCUGUUUCUUCGUCAGGUGUUUAUCGGUGGCAAGGAUAUAUCCUUAAAACAGAAACCUGCACUCUGGGUGAGAAUGCUUUGAUGUGUUACCAUAAAUGAGGACUUGCUGGCACUAAAAUACCGCCAGGCUGCCCCAAAUCAAACAUCUAGGUUUUUGAGCUGAGGAGAGCCAAAAGUCUUUUGUAUCCUGAGAGUGGAAGACAGUGAUCUUUGUGCUGCCGGCCUUGGGCACUACUGGGAAGCUCUAAUGAGCCAAGAGGUGGGAAGUGCUCUGGUGACUGGAGUACCACCCAGAUGUAAGACAGUAUCCUUAAAUGACUCUCCUGAGAAACCCUCUGGCCCACAUUUCUAUGUCACUUCAGAUCCACAGGAGUCAAGUUUCUCUGUCAAUCUAUGGAAGUCUUUGUAAGCAUCAGUGAUGGAGGAGACCCGGAUCCAAAAGCCAGCCAACCUGCAAACAAACGGUAACACAG